AUGGACCAAAGAGAAAUUCUGCAGAAGUUCCUGGAUGAGGCACAACACAGGAAAAGUAACAAAGAGGAGUUUGCUAAUGAAUUUCUGAUGCUGAAAAGACUAUCCGCCAAAUAUAAGGCAGAAAAAACCUAUCCCACAACUGUGGCUGAGAGGCCCAAGAAUAUCAAGAAAAACAGAUAUAAGGAUAUUUUGCCCUAUGACCAUAGCCUAGUAGAACUGUUCUUGAUAACCUCUGAUGAGGAUUCCAGCUACAUCAAUGCCAACUUCAUUAAGGGAGUUUAUGGACCCAAGACUUAUAUUGCCACCCAGGGACCUUUGCCUACAACUGUCCUGGACUUCUGGAGGAUGAUUUGGGAAUACAGCAUCCUGAUCAUUGUUAUGGCGUGCAUGGAGUUUGAAAUGGGAAAGAAAAAAUGUGAGCGCUACUGGGCUGAACCAGGAGACACGCAACUGCAACUUGGUCCUUUCUCCAUAUCCUGUGAAGCUGAAAAUAGAAAAUCUGAUUAUACAAUCAGGACUCUAAAAGCCAAGUUCAAUAGUGAAACUCGAACCAUCUAUCAGUUCCAUUAUAAGAAUUGGCCAGACCAUGAUGUGCCUUCAUCUAUAGACCCUAUUCUUGAGCUCAUUUGGGAUGUGCGUUGUUACCAAGAUGAUAACAGUGUUCCCAUAUGCAUUCACUGCAGCGCUGGUUGUGGAAGAACUGGUGUUCUCUGUGCUAUUGAUUACACAUGGAUGUUGCUAAAAGAUGGGAUAAUUCCUGAGAACUUCAGUGUUUUUAGUUUGAUCCAGGAAAUGCGAACACAGAGGCCUUCAUUAGUUCAAACUCAGCAACAGUAUGAACUGGUCUACAACGCUGUAUUAGAACUAUUUACGAGACAGAUGGAUGUUAUCAGGGAUAAACACUCUGGAACAGAGAUUCAAGCAAAGGACUCAGUUUUUGAGCAAAAUCCCAACAUAAAAGCAAAAUCUUAUUCUCCUAAUUUACCAAAAAGCAACAUAAAAGAAGCAAAAGUGAUGAACCAACAGAGCAAAGGAAGGAUAAGGGUGAAAAGUGCAGAAACUUCUUCCUUUGACCUCAGGACUUCUGAAAUAAAUGAAAAGGAAGGGUUAGACAUGCACCCUGCUAAACAGAGCAGUUCUUUAGAGUUUUUGGAACUGAACUGUGGUUGUAACAAAAAUGCUGACACAACCAUGAAAUGGGAGACAAAGGUAUUCCCAAUAGCUGGGGAGCCUCUUCAGAAGCAUCAGAGUUUGGACUUGAGUUCCAUUUUGUUUGGAGCAUAUCCUAAAUCUAAACCUGUAAAUGCAGCAGGAAGAUAUUCUAAUUUAAAGGUGCCAAUACUGCGGACCAAAUCAACUCCCUUUGAAUUGAUGCAACAGAGAGACAGCAAAGAGCUGGACAUAAAGGGAAAUUUUUAUUUGGAAUCUCAACCACACAACUGUUGUGUUGAUCAGGCUCAAAAAGUGAUGCAUGUUUCUUCAGCAGAACUUAAUUUUUCACCAUCACAUGACUCUAAGCAUCAAACGUGCAAUGCUGCUAAUCCAAAGCAGCAUGUCUCUGGUGCUUUUAAUGAGCAUUCUUAUAUGUCUUUAGUAGAAGAUCCUUAUUUUUCAUCAUUGUCUCCAAGUAGUGCUCAUUCUAAGAUGUCUUUUGAUUUACCUCAGAAGCAAGAUGGAAGUGUUUUACCUUGUUCUUCCCUGUCAAAAUCCUCUACAACCCUCUUUCCUCAUUACAGUUCACAUGAUUCUUUAACACUGACUGCCCUGAUCAAUUUUCCCCCACCACUGAACCAAGAGACAGCAGCAGUAGCAACUUCUCCACAGAUAGAUGAUGAAAUCCCUCCUCCACUUCCUGAACGGACACCUGAAUCUUUUAUUGUAGUAGAGGAAGCCGGAGAACUCCCACAGGGUGUUCCCAAAUCUUCAUCUUCACCUGUGAAGGUAAAAAUUGGAACAUCACUAGAAUGUAGUGGAACAUCUGAAUCAAAGAAAUCUGAUGAUUUGGUAAGAUUUAGACCAAGCAAGAGUAUAAAACCCCAGAGUCCAAAAUCAGAUCUACAACAAGAUCGUUCUUCUUCCCCACCACCUCCACUGCCAGAGAGAACCUUAGAGUCCUUCCUUCUUGCUGAUGAAGAUUGUAUACAGGCUCAACCUGUAGAGACUUGUUCUAGCUGUCCUAACACCAUGGAAAAUUCAGCAUCUUCAAAACAGACACUGAAACCUCCUGGAAAGAAUUUUACAAGGAGUAAGAGUUUGAAAAUUUUACGAAACGUGAAAAAGAGUAUCUGUAAUUCUUCCCCACCAAACAAGCCUGCACAGACUGUUCAGUCAAAUAACUCCAGCUCCUUUUUGAAUUUUGGUAUGUGUGCUACUUUCCAGAGU
rnacentral:lncRNA from 1 species